UACGUAGGGUGCAAGCGUUAAUCGGAAUUACUGGGCGUAAAGCGUGCGCAGGCGGUUUCGUAAGACAGAUGUGAAAUCCCCGGGCUUAACCUGGGAACUGCAUUUGUGACUGCGAGGCUAGAGUGUGUCAGAGGGAGGUGGAAUUCCGCGUGUAGCAGUGAAAUGCGUAGAGAUGCGGAGGAACACCGAUGGCGAAGGCGGGUCUCUGGGCCGAUACUGACGCUGAGGAGCGAAAGCGUGGGGAGCGAACAGG
rnacentral:rRNA from 1 species